GACAAACGCUGGCGGCGUGCCUAAAACAUGCAAGUCGAACGGACCCUUCGGGUCAGUGGCGGACGGCUGAGUAACGCGCGGGUAACCCACCCAGGAGUGGGGAAUAACUAUCCGAAAGGAUGGCUAAUACCGCAUACGACCACCGGCCUGCGGAGCGGUGGGGAAAGUCGCAAGACGCUUUUGGAGGGGCCCGCGUUCGAUUAGCUAGUUGGUGAGGUAAAGGCCCACCAAGGCUUCGAUAGAUAGCUGGUCUGAGAGGAUGAUCAGCCAGACUGGGACUGUGACACGGCCCAGACUCCUACGGGAGGCAGCAGUUAGGAAUCUUGGGCAAUGGGCGAAAGCCUGACCCAGCAACGCCGCGUGGGUGACGAAGGCCUUCGGGUCGUAAAGCCCUUUUCCCCGGGAAGAUAAUGACGGUACCGGGGGAAUAAGCCCCGGCUAACUACGUGCCAGCCGCCGCGGUAAUAC
rnacentral:rRNA from 1 species